rnacentral:lncRNA from 1 species
UAGAUGACGGUAGAUGACGGUAGAUGACAGUAGAUGACGGUAGAUGACACUAGAUGACACUAGAUGACGGUAGAUGACACUAGAUGACGGUGGAUUACACUAGAUGACGGUAGAUGACACUAGAUGACGGUAGAUGACACUAGAUGACACUAGAUGACGGUAGAUGACAGUAGAUGACAGUAGAUGACAGUAUAUGACUGUAGAUCACACUAGAUGACGGUAGACGACGGUAGUUGACAGUAGAUGACAGUAGAUGACAGUAGAUGACAGUAGAUGACGG